rnacentral:rRNA from 1 species
GUAGGUGGCAAGCGUUAUCCGGAUUUAUUGGGCGUAAAGGGAACGCAGGCGGCCUUUUAAGUUCGGUGUGGAAUCCUUCGGCUUAACUGGUGUAGUGCAUUGGAAACUGGGAGACUUGAGUGCAGAAGAGGAGAGUGGAACUCCAUGUGUAGCGGUGAAAUGCGUAGAUAUAUGGAAGAACACCAGUGGCGAAAGCGGCUCUCUGGUCUGUAACUGACGCUGAGGUUCGAAAGCGUGGGUAGC